GCUCAGACGAACGCUGGCGGCGUGCCUAAUACAUGCAAGUCGAGCGGACAGAUGGGAGCUUGCUCCCUGAUGUCAGCGGCGGACGGGUGAGUAACACGUGGGUAACCUGCCUGUAAGACUGGGAUAACUCCGGGAAACCGGGGCUAAUACCGGAUGCUUGAUUGAACCGCAUGGUUCAAUUAUAAAAGGUGGCUUUUAGCUACCACUUACAGAUGGACCCGCGGCGCAUUAGCUAGUUGGUGAGGUAACGGCUCACCAAGGCAACGAUGCGUAGCCGACCUGAGAGGGUGAUCGGCCACACUGGGACUGAGACACGGCCCAGACUCCUACGGGAGGCAGCAGUAGGGAAUCUUCCGCAAUGGACGAAAGUCUGACGGAGCAACGCCGCGUGAGUGAUGAAGGUUUUCGGAUCGUAAAACUCUGUUGUUAGGGAAGAACAAGUACCGUUCGAAUAGGGCGGUACCUUGACGGUACCUAACCAGAAAGCCACGGCUAACUACGUGCCAGCAGCCGCGGUAAUACGUAGGUGGCAAGCGUUGUCCGGAAUUAUUGGGCGUAAAGCGCGCGCAGGCGGUUUCUUAAGUCUGAUGUGAAAGCCCCCGGCUCAACCGGGGAGGGUCAUUGGAAACUGGGGAACUUGAGUGCAGAAGAGGAGAGUGGAAUUCCACGUGUAGCGGUGAAAUGCGUAGAGAUGUGGAGGAACACCAGUGGCGAAGGCGACUCUCUGGUCUGUAACUGACGCUGAGGCGCGAAAGCGUGGGGAGCGAACAGGAUUAGAUACCCUGGUAGUCCACGCCGUAAACGAUGAGUGCUAAGUGUUAGAGGGUUUCCGCCCUUUAGUGCUGCAGCAAACGCAUUAAGCACUCCGCCUGGG
rnacentral:rRNA from 1 species